UGUUUUGGCAAGGUUAUUCUCAUUGUGGCAGUUGACUCAGGUCAAUCACUUCAUCUAUUUAGGUGGUAUAAAUCCCGUGGACUCUGCAGGACAUUAUUUUACAUGUGCCUUUACUAGCGAUAUAGAUAUUUUAUCUCAUGUCACGUGGCUGGGUACAAACAAUUUAUACGCUUUAAAAGGAACUCGCUUCGCCGAAACAUGUAAAGGUCACGUCUUUAUUAUAUUAUUUUGACUACAUUGUUUUUAUAUCUGAUUAAUGUUAAAGAUGCAUUCAUAUUUAAUUUACGUUAAAAAUGUUUUUUCACAGAUGCAAUGGCUAGAAAUCGUGAUUACUGUCGACCAACUAAUAUCGAGUUUGCUGAAGCAAUGACUUGCGCUCUUAAAUGUUCAAAAGAGAGGCGACGAAAACGUCAAUUAGUCGCGGAUUUGAACUACCGACAUCAGAUCAGCAAUCAGAUAAUCGACAACGUUGAAAAGAAAGACCGUCAAGUUCGUAGAUGUCAUGUGAAAAAAAGCAACCUCUGCCAGAGUUCACAGAAUAUCGCCAGAGGCAGUUGCUACCUUUCAAAGCACUGAUGCUUCAGAAGAUAUUGAAGAAAAUUCAGAGGUCGACAAGCAGGACAAGAACAAGCAUUCGGAUUAUGAUUUUAUGUUGCCUAUUAUCUAUUACAAUAAAAUUACAUGGAAUUAUAAUUUACACUUUUUUAAUUUAGGUUUCGAAACAUAUUGAAGAAAAUUCAGAGGUCGACGAGCAGGACAAGCAUUUGGACUAUGAUCUCGAACCGUACGAGGAGUCAGUGAUUGAGGAAAACCACUUAGAAGAAGAGAUUUUUAAGAGAGAAGAAACAAAUUAUGAGGAAGAAGACAUUAAUUAUAUUUUAACGCAGUCCGAUCUCGAAAGAAUCGACACAUUGUCGACAUACAAGGGAAUCGUUUGCAGGGAUGUCGGAAUAUAAUUAAUGAUUUUAUUUUUAUAUGAAAUUUAUAUAUUUUUUGCUUCUAUUUUAUUUAAGAUAUUUUAACUUACAUAUUUUAAC